UACGUAGGUCGCAAGCGUUGUCCGGAUUUACUGGGCGUAAAGAGCGCGCAGGCGGCUGGUCAAGUCCGAUGUGAAAUCUCCCGGCUCAACUGGGAAACUGCAUCGGAAACUGAUCGGCUUGAAGGUGGGAGAGGGUAGUGGAAUUCCCGGUGUAGUGGUGGAAUGCGUAGAUAUCGGGAGGAACAUCAGUGGCGCAAGCGGCGCCCUGGCCUUAGCCUGACGCUCAGGGGCGAAAGCGUGGGGAGCGAACGGG
rnacentral:rRNA from 1 species